UGAGGAAUAUUGGUCAAUGGGCGAGAGCCUGAACCAGCCAAGUAGCGUGAAGGAUGACGGCCCUACGGGUUGUAAACUUCUUUUGUGCGGGAAUAAAGGAGCCUACGUGUAGGCUUUUGCAUGUACCGUAACGAAUAAGCAUCGGCUAACUCCGUGCCAGCAGCCGCGGUAAUACGGAGGAUGCGAGCGUUAUCCGGAUUUAUUGGGUUUAAAGGGAGCGCAGGCCGUCCUUUAAGCGUGCUGUGAAAUGCCGCGGCUCAACCGUGGCACUGCAGCGCGAACUGGAGGACUUGAGUACGCACGAGGUAGGCGGAAUUCGUGGUGUAGCGGUGAAAUGCUUAGAUAUCACGAAGAACUCCGAUUGCGAAGGCAGCUUACCGGAGCGCAACUGACGCUGAGGCUCGAAAGCGCGGGUAUCGAACAGGAUUAGAUACCCUGGUAGUCCGCGCGGUAAACGAUGGAUGCCCGCCGUUGGGAUUUGGAUUUCAGCGGCCAAGCGAAAGCGUUAAGCAUCCCACCUGGGGAGUACGCCGGCAACGGUGAAACUCAAAGGAAUUGACGGGGGCCCGCACAAGCGGAGGAACAUGUGGUUUAAUUCGAUGAUACGCGAGGAACCUUACCCGGGCUUGAAUUGCAGGAGAACGAUCCAGAGAUGGUGAGGCCCUUCGGGGCUCCUGUGAAGGUGCUGCAUGGUUGUCGUCAGCUCGUGCCGUGAGGUGUCGGCUCAAGUGCCAUAACGAGCGCAACCCCUGUCCAUAGUUGCCAUCAGGUCGUGCUGGGCACUCUGUGGAGACUGCCGCCGUAAGGUGUGAGGAAGGUGGGGAUGACGUCAAAUCAGCACGGCCCUUACGUCCGGGGCUACACACGUGUUACAAUGGGGCAUACAGCGAGUUGGAUGUGCGCAAGUACGUCCGGAUCAAUAAAGUGCCUCUCAGUUCGGACUGGGGUCUGCAACCCGACCCCACGAAGCUGGAUUCGCUAGUAAUCGCGCAUCAGCCAUGGCGCGGUGAAUACGUUCCC
rnacentral:rRNA from 1 species